rnacentral:lncRNA from 10 species
GUAGCUGGGACUACAGGCGCCCGCCACCAUGCCAGGCUAAUUUUUUCUAUUUUUGGUAGAGAUGGGGUUUCACCAUGUUAGCCAGGAUGGUCUCGAUUUUCUGACCUCGUGAUCCGCCCACCUCGGCCUCCCAAAGUGCUGGGAUUACAGGCCAGAAUUUUUUUUUUUUUUUUUUUUUUGAGACAUGGUCUUGCCCUUGUCGCCCAGGCUGGAGUGCAAUGGUGCGAUCUCAGCUCACUGCAACCUCUGCCUCCCGGGUUCAAGUGAUUCUCCUACCUCAGCCUCCCAAGUAGCUGGGAUUACAGACAACCGCCAUCAUGCCUGGCUAAUUUUUGUAUUUUUAGUAGAGACGGGGUUUCACCAUGUUGGCCAGGCUGGUCUUGAACUCCUGACCUCAGGUGAUCCGCCUGCCUUGGCCUCCCAAAGUUCUGGGAUUACAGGUAUGAGCCACUGUGCUCAGCCAAUAAAGAUAUUUUUAAAAACAUAGCUAUGGAUGGAUAUAGCCUUUGAUGAGGAUAUUAUGGGCCCCAUUCCUAGUGUCAAGCACAGUGCUUGACAUAUAAUCUCUCUUCUGGGUGAAACGUUCUGGGCACGAGCAACAGAAGCAUUUUCUGCCUCUCCUAAAUCCAGACGCUGCUUUGUGGUGGGACUGGAAGGAGAAUACCAAGCUGAUUAGGAUGAUUUCUGCAGCAAAGUGUAAGAUACUUAUAGAGGCCAUGUGCUCCCUGCUAAGUUGGAGCUGAGAAGCUGGGAAUAGGCUGAGAUGCUCUUCCUUCACUUGUUCUCCUGAGUACAGCCUCCGUGCUUGUUGUUACAUAAUUUCUAUUAAAAUUCCUGGAAAUGCAGCUAGAAGAGUAGCUCCCAAAGGAACCCUGAGGCAUGAAUGCUGAGGUUGAAAGCUUCCCAUCUAAACUGUGUCUCCAAGUGCUGACAAUGCCAACCCGACUCACAUCGUCAUUGGUGACAAUGCCAACCCAACCAACUCACAUUGUGUGCAGGAUUCCCAAAUGCCCAGCAGCUUCAAAAAUAGACAUCUUCUCCAAAGAGAGCAGACACGGUGAAAAGCACAAAGAUGAAUGACUUCAAAUUAUGAGAUGCAAAGAAUGCCAACUUGCUCACAUUAAGGUAAGGUAUAAUAGGUUGUAGGAGGUUAGGAAGUCAUCUAUGAGGCCACCGCUUUUCCAGUGGUUCCUGCAUGCCCCCACCCUGCUGUGCUUAUUGCCAUAAAGCAUCACAGAGCACGGCCCGACAGUGGUCAGGGUGCUCAAUGGCA